GGCACCGAGCCCGAGCUCUGCCGCCAACCGCGGCCAGUCGCCUUCUCCCCGCACGGGCACACCUCAGUCGCAGCAUGGCGAGGAGAGCGCUUUCAGCCCGGGAGCGCAGAUGCCGUCACCGGGACGCCUGACUUCGCCGUCACCCCAGCAGAGGAUGUCUUCGCCACAGCACCGGACGACACCUGGCCCAUUUCCCUCUGACCAGAUGAGGAUCCAGCACGCGGUCCCCCGCUUUGCGCGCUCCCCCCUCGGGCUGGGGACGCCGCAGCCGCAGCCGGCCGCCGCCUCCUCCCCCGCGGA